rnacentral:lncRNA from 1 species
UUCACAGGUAUCAAUGAAAAAUAACUGUGAAGCUUAAAAUGUCUUCAUAUCUUUCAGGGCUUCUCAUUUCCUUCUGGCAUAAUUGCACCAUGAGAGUCACAGAACACUUCAAAUACAAUGAUGGUGAGAGCAACAUGUAUCAAAAAAGUUCUCAGGUGUUUGCCACCUCUUAGAAUUUCACCUGUGUGGGUCCCGUGUUUGAGAAAGUCCCAGGACUUGUCAGCUGGUAUAGGCCUCAUAAAAGACAGUUCUGUUCAGGGUUUGAAAGCAACUGCCUGGUGCCUGGGACUGCAAGCGAAGGAUCCGUCACCUGCACCAGGAGGUGCUGGGAGAGCAGGUGUUCUGCAAGGCUGCGUGUGCCAAGGAGAGGGCGAGAGUGAAAGGGGAAAGUGUUUGACCUGCGGGCACAGUAUUUCCAGGACGUGUGUGGCACAAUUAUAGGGGUUUGAACUGCUUUACUAUAAGCACUGGAUUGUUUUCUUUUCUUUCUUUCUUUCUUUUUUCUCUUUUUCACUUUAGUCUCAGAACUGUUUUAAUGGUUUGUGCAAAUUCUGCUGGGGGUGCUGUUUGCUUGAAAUGAAGUGGGCGGAGAACGAUUGAGGGUAAAGAAGAUUCAUGGUCAGAAAGAUUCUGUCAUUAGUCCAAUUUCUGGAAGAAUUUGAUUUUUUUUCUCCACAGUUAGGUUUUUUCCUAAAUUUGUGAAAUCAGUUCCACAGUAAGGUAAAGACCCUAAAACACUUAGAAUGCAAGUAUGUAUUAGCUGCGGUG